AAAUGAAUUGACGGGGCCCGCACAAGCGGUGAGCAUGUGGUUUAAUUCGAAGCAACGCGAAGAACCUUACCAGGUCUUGACAUCCCGAUGCUAUUCUAGAGAUAGAAAGUUACUUCGGUACAUCGGUGACAGGUGGUGCAUGGUUGUCGUCAGCUCGUGUCGUGAGAUGUUGGGUUAAGUCCCGCAACGAGCGCAACCUUACCCUUAGUUGCCAGCGGGUAAUGCCGGGCACUCUAAGGGGACCGCCCCGGAUAACGGGGAGGAAGGCGGGGAUGACGUCAAAUCAUCAUGCCCCUUAUGACCUGGGCUACACACGUGCUACAAUGGUUGGUACAACGAGUUGCGAGUCGGUGACGGCGAGCUAAUCUCUUAAAGCCAAUCUCAGUUCGGAUUGUAGGCUGCAACUCGCCUACAUGAAGUCGGAAUCGCUAGUAAUCGCGGAUCAGCACGCCGCGGUGAAUACGUUCCCGGGCCUU
rnacentral:rRNA from 1 species